UACGGAGGGUGCGAGCGUUGUCCGGAAUCAUUGGGCGUAAAGGGCGCGUAGGCGGCUUCUCAAGCGUGCGGUGAAAGUCGGGGGCUCAACCCCUGAUCGGCCGUGCGAACUGGGGGGCUGGAGCACUGUAGAGGCAGGCGGAAUUCCGGGUGUAGCGGUGGAAUGCGUAGAGAUCCGGAAGAACACCGGUGGCGAAGGCGGCCUGCUGGGCAGUGAGGGGCAACCCUCUGAAAGCUGACGCUGAGGCGCGACAGCGUGGGGAGCAAACAGG
rnacentral:rRNA from 1 species